rnacentral:rRNA from 1 species
CCUACGGGAGGCAGCAGUGGGGAAUAUUGGACAAUGGGCGGAAGCCUGAUCCAGCCAUGCCGCGUGUGUGAAGAAGGCCUUUUGGUUGUAAAGCACUUUAAGCGAGGAGGAGGCUACUAGUACUAAUACUACUGGAUAGUGGACGUUACUCGCAGAAUAAGCACCGGCUAACUCUGUGCCAGCAGCCGCGGUAAUACAGAGGGUGCGAGCGUUAAUCGGAUUUACUGGGCGUAAAGCGUGCGUAGGCGGCUUUUUAAGUCGGAUGUGAAAUCCCCGAGCUUAACUUGGGAAUUGCAUUCGAUACUGGGAAGCUAGAGUAUGGGAGAGGAUGGUAGAAUUCCAGGUGUAGCGGUGAAAUGCGUAGAGAUCUGGAGGAAUACCGAUGGCGAAGGCAGCCAUCUGGCCUAAUACUGACGCUGAGGUACGAAAGCAUGGGGAGCAAACAGGAUUAGAUACCCUGGUAGUCCAUGCCGUAAACGAUGUCUACUAGCCGUUGGGGCCCUUUGAGGCUUUAGUGGCGCAGCUAACGCGAUAAGUGACCGCCUGGGGAGUACGGUGCAAGCUAAACUUAAAGGAAUUGACGGNNGAGAGNGCGAGGCGACGACGAGGGGAGGAGG